rnacentral:rRNA from 1 species
UGAGUACGAGAUGCUACGGCGUCGAAGCAGUCUAGGUCAUACUUCCAAGAAAAGCUUGCACUGUCAUAAACAAAGAAUGCCUGUACCAUAACCGACACAGGUGGGUAGGUAGAGUAUACUAAGGGGCGCGAGAUAACUCUCUCUAAGGAACUCGGCAAAAUGACUCCGUAACUUCGGGAGGAGGAGUGCCUUAUUUUUAAGGUUGCAAUAACAAGAUCCAAGCAACUGUUUACCAAAAACACAGGUCUCCGCUAAGUCGUAAGACGAUGUAUGGGGGCUGACGCCUGCCCAGUGCCAGAAGGUUAAAGAAGUUGGUUAGCAUUUGCGAAGCUGAUAACUGAAGCCCUGGUGAACGGCGGCCGUAACAAUAACGGUCCUAAGGUAGCGAAAUUCCUUGUCGGGUAGGUUCCGACCCGCACGAAAGGCGUAAUGAUUUGGAUACUGUCUCGGAGAGGGGCUCGGUGAAAUAGACUUGUCUGUGAAGAUGCGGACUACCUGCACCUGGACAGAAAGACCCUAUGAAGCUUUACUGUAACUUGAGAUUGAAAUUGGACUUUAUUUGCGCAGUAUAGGUGGGAGGCGUUGAGAAUAAUCUUGCGGGAUUAUCGGAGCCAUCAGUGAGAUACCACUCUUGUAAUGUUAGAUUUCUAACUUUGUAUCAUUAUCUGGUCAAAGAACAGUUUCAGGCGGGCAGUUUGACUGGGGCGGUCGCCUCCCAAAGGGUAACGGAGGCGCACAAAGGUUUCCUCUGAACGGGUAGAAAUCGUAUCUAGAGUGUAAAGGCAUAAGGAAGCUUGACUGUGAGACCUACAAGUCGAGCAGGGACGAAAGUCGGUCUUAGUGAUCUGACGGUGCUGAGUGGAAAGGCCGUCACUCAACGGAUAAAAGUUACUCUAGGAUAACAGGCUGAUCUCCCCCAAGAGUUCACAUCGACGGGGAGGUUUGGCACCUCGAUGUCGGCUCAUCGCAUCCUGGGGCGGUAGUACGUCCCAAGGGUUGGGCUGUUCGCCCAUGAAAGCGGUACGCGAGCUGGGUUCAGAACGUCGUGAGACAGUUCGGUCCAUAUCCGGUGUAGGCGUUAGAAUAUUGAAAGGAGCCUUCUCUAGUACGAGAGGACCGAGAAGGACAUACCUCUGGUGUGCCAGUUAUCGUGCCAACGGUAAACGCUGGGUAGCUAUGUAUGGAGUGGAUAACCGCUGAAAGCAUCUAAGUGGGAAGCCCACCUUAAGAUAAG